rnacentral:rRNA from 1 species
UACAGAGGGUGCAAGCGUUGUUCGGAAUCAUUGGGCGUAAAGGGCGCGUAGGCGGCCUGGAAAGUCGGAUGUGAAAGCCCAGGGCUCAACCUUGGAAGUGCAUCCGAAACUGCUAGGCUCGAAUCCCGGAGAGGGUGGUGGAAUUCCCAGUGUAGAGGUGAAAUUCGUAGAUAUUGGGAGGAACACCGGUGGCGAAGGCGACCACCUGGACGGAGAUUGACGCUGAGGCGCGAAAGCGUGGGUAGCAAACAGG